UUAUGAUUUUAUCAUUCUUUAACAUUCAAUAUUCCUAUUAGUUGUUCAUUAGAUUGAUCUACCAUCGCUUUUCUUUUCUGAUAGUUAAAUGUCAUCGACACCAAGGUGUUAGGGUUCUUACCAUAAUGGUCUCUCCUUGGAUCAAGAAAGGCACCUGUUUGAUUAGAUUCCAGUUAAUAUCCAGGCUAUAAACGAAUCAAAGUUGGCAUCUGUAUGGGUACGAAUUACAAGGCUGCGUUAAUUCCGCAGCGAAUACGAGAUACAAUCCAUGGACCUCUGCAAUCCAUCAACUUGAUCAGGGUCCUUCUUCGUGUAAAAAGAAGGUUUAGUCUCAUUUUUAAGCCAUAAUCAGAAGUAAUUUUUGAAGAAUCAUCCAUUGUGGCACUGUUUGCUAAAGUUGAUGAAAACAUGGCUACAAGCUCCCUUAUAACAGUUGGCUCAUGGGGAUGGGAUUGGUGGCACAAGGAGACUUUAAAAACCAAGGGUCAAAGGAAGAACACAUGGAAAUUAUAACUGAAAAUCAACCGGGCCGCCUUUUAUGAUGCAGUUUUGUUCACGAUACCAUGUGCAUGACUAUUGACACACAAGGUGUUAUCUGCUAAGGGUAAUGAAGUUAUGGAUAUUGCCAUAAAGGCCGAUUUGGUUGUCUUGAACACGACUGUUGUUGGUAAAUGGUCUUCUGAACAAAGAUGCCUUCACGUGCUUCCAAAAGUGAUAUGGUGGAUUCAUGAGAUGCGAGGUGUGUAAAAUUUGUUAUGAUUAGAGGUGGCAAUUUCGACAUAAGGUGUCAAUUUGUAUUGUAUUUUAUUGGUAAAAGGUCAAAUGUUGAGAUCUAACUAUGAAAAGAAAUGGGUCAAAAGUCAUACUUAUUACAUAAUUUAUAUAGGAUUAUCGUUGAAUGUGCUUACAAAUUUUUAAAAAAUAAGCCAUUAUACUUAAAAAAAAUUAUACAUGAUUAAUAACUAAUAAAAUAAAACAACCCGUGGGCACCACGGGUGAUAACAGGAUAAAUCUUAGGGUUCUUUAAAAUGCAUAUGGGAUAAUAUUUGAUAAAUCUUAAUGAGAUCAGCUACUUUAUUUCUUGAUACAUCUUGCUAUUUUUCUUAUAAUAAGCAGUCUAUAAGUUUACCUACGAAUAAACUUUGGUUUUGUCUUUGCAUUUUUAUGUUCCUCAAAUGACAAAUAUUCAUAUGAUGCUAUUGUUAUAAAAAAAAGUUUAGGGGUUUAAUAUAAAAGUGCUUUAAGAAGGAAAGACAAUUGAAGAGGAAUCAUGAUGGAUUAUGUUAUUGAAUGAAGAAGUGAAGAUGAAUCUAACGCUGUUACAAUCUAUAACUGAUGUGAAAUCAAUUUACCAUUUGCCGGACCACAUGCCAAAUACCUCGCUACAUCAGCAACCGGUCAACUACUUCAUGAUGCCAGUUACAUAAGUUUUUGUUACCAUGUUUUCAUUUACUAAAAACAUUUUUAUUACAAGUUGUUUUGUCAUCUUUAAAGUGAAGUUCGAGUACGAAGACUUAGAGAAGUUGCACAUGUCCCUGUCCGACUAUUUGGUGGUAGUCUAGGGGGUGAAACUAAAGUGAGGUUUUGGGUUGAUCAGUUUAAAUGUAAUUUUUU
rnacentral:lncRNA from 1 species